CAGUCGCCGCGGUAAUACGAAGGGUGCAAGCGUUACUCGGAAUUACUGGGCGUAAAGCGUGCGUAGGUGGUGGUUUAAGUCCGUUGUGAAAGCCCUGGGCUCAACCUGGGAAUUGCAGUGGAUACUGGGUCACUAGAGUGUGGUAGAGGAUAGUGGAAUUUCCGGUGUAGCAGUGAAAUGCGUAGAGAUCGGAAGGAACAUCUGUGGCGAAGGCGACUAUCUGGGCCAACACUGACACUGAGGCACGAAAGCGUGGGGAGCAAACAGGAUUAGAUACCCCAGUAGUCCAUGUCUCUUAUAC
rnacentral:rRNA from 1 species